rnacentral:rRNA from 1 species
AAAUGACCCCGUAACUUAGGGAUAAGGGGUGCCACCAUCAGGUGGCCGCAGAGAAUAGGCCCAAGCGACUGUUUACCAAAAACAUAGGUUUCUGCUAAGUCGCAAGACGAUGUAUAGGAGCUGACGCCUGCCCGGUGCUGGAAGGUUAAGGGGAUCUGUUAGAGCAAUCGAAGCAGUGAACUUAAGCCCCAGUAAACGGCGGCCGUAACUAUAACGGUCCUAAGGUAGCGAAAUUCCUUGUCGGGUAAGUUCCGACCCGCACGAAAGGCGUAACGAUUUGGGCACUGUCUCAACAACAGACUCGGUGAAAUUGUAAUUCCGGUGAAGAUGCCGGAUACCUGCGACAGGACGGAAAGACCCCAUGGAGCUUUACUGUAGCUUGACAUUGGGUCUUGGUACUACAUGUACAGGAUAGGUGGGAGGCUUUGAAACCAGGACGCCAGUUUUGGCGGAGCCAUCCUUGGGAUACCACCCUUGUAGUACUGGGACUCUAACCAUAGGCCAUGAAUCUGGUCUUGGGACACUGUCAGGUGGGCAGUUUGACUGGGGCGGUCGCCUCCCAAAAGGUAACGGAGGCGCUCAAAGGUUCUCUCAGUACGGUCGGAAAUCGUACGUAGAGUGUAAAGGCAAAAGAGAGCUUGAUUGCAAGACAUACAGGUCGAGCAAGGAUGAAAAUCGGACUUAGUGAUCCGGUGGUUCUGCGUGGAAGGGCCAUCGCUCAACGGAUAAAAGCUACCCUGGGGAUAACAGGCUUAUCUCCCCCAAGAGUCCACAUCGACGGGGAGGUUUGGCACCUCGAUGUCGGCUCAUCACAUCCUGGGGCUGUAGUAGGUCCCAAGGGUUGGGCUGUUCGCCCAUUAAAGUGGUACGCGAGCUGGGUUCAGAACGUCGUGAGACAGUUCGGUCCCUAUCCGUCGCAGGCGUAGGAAAUUUGAGAAGACCUGUCCUUAGUACGAGAGGACCGGGAUGGACGUACCUCUGGUGUACCAGUUGUCCUGCCAAGGGCAUGGCUGGGUAGCUAUGUACGGAAUGGAUAAGCGCUGAAAGCAUCUAAGCGCGAAGCCAACUUCAAGAUAAGAUUUCCCACCGCAAGGGUAAGACCCCAGAAAGACUAUCUGGUUGAUAGGUCGAAGGUGUAAGUGCAGCAAUGUAUUUAGCUUAUCGAUACUAAUAG